rnacentral:rRNA from 1 species
GUGGGGAAUCUUGCGCAAUGGGCGAAAGCCUGACGCAGCCAUGCCGCGUGGAUGAUGAAGGUCUUAGGAUUGUAAAAUCCUUUCACCGGUGAAGAUAAUGACUGUAGCCGGAGAAGAAGCCCCGGCUAACUUCGUGCCGGCAGCCGCGGUAAUACGAAGGGGGCUAGCGUUGCUCGGAUUUACUGGGCGUAAAGGGCGCGUAGGCGGACAUUUAAGUCAGGGGUGAAAUCCCGGGGCUCAACCUCGGAACUGCCUUUGAUACUGGGUGUCUUGAGUAUGAGAGAGGUGUGUGGAACUCCGAGUGUAGAGGUGAAAUUCGUAGAUAUUCGGAAGAACACCAGUGGCGAAGGCGACACACUGGCUCAUUACUGACGCUGAGGCGCGAAAGCGUGGGGAGCAAACAGGAUUAGAUACCCGUGUAGUCC